rnacentral:rRNA from 1 species
GUAGGGGGCAAGCGUUAUCCGGAUUUACUGGGUGUAAAGGGAGCGUAGACGGCAUGGCAAGCCAGAUGUGAAAGCCCGGGGCUCAACCCCGGGACUGCAUUUGGAACUGUCAGGCUAGAGUGUCGGAGAGGAAAGCGGAAUUCCUAGUGUAGCGGUGAAAUGCGUAGAUAUUAGGAGGAACACCAGUGGCGAAGGCGGCUUUCUGGACGAUGACUGACGUUGAGGCUCGAAAGCGUGGGGAGCAAACAGGAUUAGAUACCCUGGUAGUCCACGCCGUAAACGAUGAGUGCUAGGUGUUGGAUCCUUUCCGGGAUUCAGUGCCGCAGCUAACGCAUUAAGCAUUCCACCUGGGGAGU